UACGGAGGGUGCAAGCGUUAUCCGGAUUCACUGGGUUUAAAGGGUGCGUAGGUGGGAAUGUAAGUCAGCGGUGAAAUCUCCGUGCUUAACAUGGAAACUGCCAUUGAUACUAUGUUUCUUGAAUCUUCCGGAGGUCAGCGGAAUAUGUCAUGUAGCGGUGAAAUGCUUAGAUAUGACAUAGAACACCAAUUGCGAAGGCAGCUGACUACAGGGGCAUUGACACUGAGGCACGAAAGCGUGGGGAUCAAACAGG
rnacentral:rRNA from 1 species